rnacentral:rRNA from 1 species
UACGAAGGGGGCUAGCGUUGUUCGGAAUUACUGGGCGUAAAGGGUUCGUAGGUGGCUUGUUAAGUCAGACGUGAAAUCCCUCGGCUCAACCGGGGAACUGCGUCUGAGACUGAUGAGCUCGAGUGCAGGAGAGGAACGCGGAAUUCCAGGUGUAGCGGUGAAAGUGCGCAGAUAUCAGGAGGAACACCGAUGGCGAAGGCAGGUCUCUGGGCGAUUAACUGACGCUGAGGAGCGAAAGCAUGGGGAGCGAACAGG